CUCCCAAACCCUUAUGUGAACCUACCUAUCGUUGCUUCGGCGGACUCGCCCCAGCCGGACGCGGACUGGACCAGCGGCCGCCGGGGACCAUCAAACUCUUGUAUUAUCAGCAUCUUCUGAAUACGCCGCAAGGCAAAACAAAUAAAUUAAAACUUUCAACAACGGAUCUCUUGGCUCUGGCAUCGAUGAAGAACGCAGCGAAAUGCGAUAAGUAAUGUGAAUUGCAGAAUCCAGUGAAUCAUCGAAUCUUUGAACGCACAUUGCGCCCGCCAGCAUUCUGGCGGGCAUGCCUGUUCGAGCGUCAUUUCAACCCUCGACCUCCCUUUGGGGAAGUCGGCGUUGGGGACCGGCAGCACACCGCCGGCCCUGAAAUGGAGUGGCGGCCCGUCCGCGGCGACCUCUGCGUAGUAAACCAACUCGCACCGGAACCCCGACGUGGCCACGCCGUAAAACACCCAACUUCUGAACGUUGACCUCGAAUCAGGUAGGACUACCCGCUGAACUUAAGCAUAUCAAUAAGCGGAGGAAAAGAAACCAACAGGGAUUGCCCCAGUAACGGCGAGUGAAGCGGCAACAGCUCAAAUUUGAAAUCUGGCCCUCGGGUCCGAGUUGUAAUUUGUAGAGGAUGCUUUUGGCGAGGUGCCUUCCGAGUUCCCUGGAACGGGACGCCAUAGAGGGUGAGAGCCCCGUCUGGUCGGACACCGAGCCUCUGUAAAGCUCCUUCGACGAGUCGAGUAGUUUGGGAAUGCUGCUCAAAAUGGGAGGUAUAUGUCUUCUAAAGCUAAAUAUUGGCCAGAGACCGAUAGCGCACAAGUAGAGUGAUCGAAAGAUGAAAAGCACUUUGAAAAGAGGGUUAAAAAGUACGUGAAAUUGUUGAAAGGGAAGCGCUUAUGACCAGACUUGCGCCCGGUGAAUCAUCCAGCGUUCUCGCUGGUGCACUUUGCCGGGCACAGGCCAGCAUCAGUUUGGCGCGGGGGAAAAAGGCUUCGGGAAUGUGGCUCCCUCGGGAGUGUUAUAGCCCGCUGCGUAAUA
rnacentral:rRNA from 1 species